UACAGGGCAAGUUAAGGGGGUAAUACAGAGUUAUCAGCACAAAAUAAAAUGCUCUCCGAGCGCGAGCGUCAGGCCGGCGCGGCUGCAGCCAGCUCGGUCAACGCGCGGCGGAAGGCGGCCGCCGGCAGAGGAUGUUGGCGAGCACGGCGACAGCUCCAGGUCCAUCUCUUCCCCGUCCUUGCGUUAUGUUCGCCUCGUUGACGAUCGCGACCAGAUCCCCUCCGCAAUCCAGAUUACCACAUCGAUUUGGGGAUUUGGGGAUAGAACCAGGACACGAGCAGCAAAGACGACACAACAGACCUUGCAUCAGUCCAGAACGACUGAUGAUCCAGAGUGGGGAUUACCAGUGACGCAUUCAUGAUCUUUGCCACUGCAACCAUAUCACUGAUCUGUAAGAAUUGUUCCAGGUUAGCUGAAAGGCACCGACAAAUAGCGAGGGUUAGGGCAAGCAUAUACAUACCCCCAUCCUCAUCUGGUUUAGCCCGCCGUUUGCGUCGACAAUCAGAUAGCCGACAGUCGCAUUGUCAGUCCCUGCAACGCGCGCGCCAAACACGAGAAUGUUAGCUGGAGCUGGAAGAAAAAUGGAGUGAACGAAUGGUAAAACAAGAAACUUACUGCGCUGAUUCUUUGGGCGUGCGAUGCACUGGCUGUAACCCCCGCUGUCUGGCUUCAUCCAUAUCUCCGGUGUCUGCCCAGGUUUAAGAGGAAACUUCAGCAUGGUCAAAGCGAGCACAGCACAUGAUCUGAGUGAAUGCUUGGCUUUCCUGAAAGGACUUUCUUGGCCGCACAUAGGCACAAGAUUGUUGCCUGGAAAGUGUCUGCCGGCCCUGCCCUAAACCUAUGCAUCAUGAAGCCCGUUGGCCCUACUCCCUGGUUUCUUUCUACCCGUGCAGCAUAUUUUUUUACACUUCUGGAUACUUCAGUAAUUUUAUACGAGGGUUGGUAGGAUCCUGGUAGUUCGCUAUCAUUGAACUUUCAGUUGUGUCAAGAUGAAAAUUUCAAAACCAGGACAUUACUUGUA